GGAGGACCAGGGGGGUUGCGGCGCGGUGCAGGGAGCAGCCUCCCCAGGGAAAUUGAGUGUAGCCCGGGAAUUGCGUGGUGCCGGCAGGGGUACGCCUGGAUCCGGGGAAGCCCUCAGACUUGGGCUUGUAGCUUGGGAAGAAACCUUAAGAUCACCUGGCCCGAGAACCUCCUGCUACAGAGAAGGAAAAGAAGGCUCCGAGGGAAAUCUAGCUGCCAAAUCGGGGCUGGAACUCGGUUCGCUGUCCCACCACCGGGCUCCUUUCCCUUCACCAAGUUUUCAGCCUGGAAGAGAGAUCCCCAGUGAGUUGGCUGCGACUGAUGGGGAUUAUUCACUAAGCCAGGGGAAGUGCCAGGAUCUGAAAACAGAGUGGCAGGCCAUCCCCUGAGACUCUCCUUGAUUGCCCAAAGGCUCCUGGACUCACUUAGCCUUCAGGCACCCAGAGCCAGAGAGAACCACCUGGGAGUUAACUUUCUUCCCAGUGAACCUUUCCUAAGAACUGCCCUACAGAAUAUAAAAGCCCAGUCCUAUUGCCUCUAGAAUGCUCAGUGCUUCCUGGCAGGAUCAAGCUGUUGUCAGGAUUUUGCCUGAACUCCCUUCCUUUUCUCUCUUGCUUAAUCUGGUAACAUAUGCAUUUUUUUGCAGACAUAUUUCCUAAUAAAUCACACACAAUGCU